ensembl:snRNA U5 U5 spliceosomal RNA
GGCUAUUGUUUCUCUUCAAAUCGUAUAAAUCUUUCGCCUUUUACUAAAGAUUUCCGUGGAGAGAAACUGUAAGAGUUUAACCCAAUUUUUUGAUAUCCUGCUAAUUGGUGGGGUU